UACGGGGGGGGCAAGCGUUGUUCGGAAUUACUGGGCGUAAAGGGCUCGUAGGUGGCCAACUAAGUCAGACGUGAAAUCCCUCAGCUUAACUGGGGAACUGCGUCUGAUACUGGAUGGCUUGAGUUUGGGAGAGGGAUGCGGAAUUCCAGGUGUAGCGGUGAAAUGCGUAGAUAUCUGGAGGAACACCGGCGGCGAAGGCGGCAUCCUGGACCGACAUUGACGCUGAGGAGCGAAAGCUAGGGGAGCAAACGGG
rnacentral:rRNA from 1 species